rnacentral:misc_RNA from 1 species
AAAUUGGGUUUCUUCACGCGUUAAAUUUCUGUUCAGAUCUUGUUUUUUCAUCUAUAAACACUUCAAUUUUCAUUUGUUUAGAUUACCCUUUUGCAAAAACCUCAGGGUUUAUUGUUCUUUUUAGCUCCAAAGUUUGAAAAUUGAAUUGGGUUUUGUGAGAUCUGAGAUUUUUGUUAGGUGGUAUUGGAGUUUUCAAGGAUUUAAGGGAAUCCACUUGCUUGUUUUCUUGAUUUCUAGGUAAAAAAUUUGUAAAAAUUGGAUCUUGGUUGAAGUUUGACUAGUGGAAGUUGAGAUUUUUGUGUGUUGAUUUGGUAGGGAAAGUUUAGAUAUUGAGACCCUUUUAGUUUUAGGUGAGAAUUGAAGCUUUUUGUUGUGUUAGUUAGGUGGGGAAGUUAAGAUCUUGAGACCCUUUUAGCUGAAAGUUUUGAAGAAGUUGGGUUUUGAGGAUCUGGUUCAAUGGGUAAUUGUUGUGCAGUACCAAAAACUUCAGAAACAGAGGAGAAGAAAAGGGGGAAGAAUAAGCCAAAUCCAUUUUCUGUUGAUUAUGGUCAUCAUGGGAAUGGACACAAGUCCUAUGUGUUGGAUAAUCCAACUGGUACUGAUAUUGAGGCAACGUAUGAGUUAGGGCGUGAGCUUGGUCGAGGUGAAUUUGGGGUUACAUAUUUGUCUACUGACAAAGUAAGUGGAGAAGUGUAUGCUUGUAAAUCAAUAUCGAAGAAGAAACUUAGGACUCGAGUGGAUAUCGAGGAUGUAAGGAGAGAAGUUGAGAUCAUGAAGCAUUUG